rnacentral:rRNA from 1 species
UACGUAGGGGGCAAGCGUUGUCCGGAUUCAUUGGGCGUAAAGCGCGUGUAGGCUGCUUGGAAAGUCGGAUGUGAAAGCCCUGGGCUUAACCCAGGAAGUGCACUCGAAACUUCCAAGCUCGAGUCCUGGAGAGGGUGGCGGAAUUCUCGGUGUAGAGGUGAAAUUCGUAGAUAUCGAGAGGAACACCGGUGGCGAAGGCGGCUACCUGGACAGUGACUGACGCUGAGACGCGAAAGCGUGGGGAGCAAACAGG